AAUGAUUACAGAUAAUUUGUUUUUGUUACAUUUCAGGAUAUCUCAAAAGACAUCUAAGGACAAAUAGAUUGUGUUUUGAAUAAAACAAAUUAUUAUCUAAUUUUUAAAGUCCAGAGGUAGGAGCAACAACAUAUUUAAGUCAUUUGUGGGAGAACAUAGUGUUGAAGGUGAUUCUAAAAGAAUUCUGCGGUUGGGAACUAUUAGAACACUGCCAGGUAUGGAUUGCUGUGCUUACAAUAAUGAUUUCUCCUCCUCUUAACUUGAUGCCUGAAAGGUACUAGGCUUGGUGCUUUCUCUGAGCCUUAGGUUCUGCAGCGAUGAAGUAAGAAGGCUGCUUUCUGGAGUUGUGUAGGACAUGGAGAAGGUCUCCACAACCAAAGACAAGUGAAUUACAGUUCAUAAUAUUUGCCCUGGACAGCACUCAUCAAGAAGUUAAGAGGAAGAAAGUUUCCACCUUUCUCCUUCCUGGCACUUUCAGCUGGCGACUUUGAAAUAAAUUUAAACACCACCAAGUGAAACAAAAACAUUUAGUGUAAAAAUGCACUCUGCAAGGAUUGGGCCCCAUUUCUGAAGUACAUCUGAGCCUGGCCAUAGCCAAGCUGUCUCAAGUCUGGGCUGGUCUGGGGCUGAGUGGUACAUAGUGGGAUGGAAAGAUGAGACCCGUUGUGCCAGGUGACAGUGUGAACUGAAGGCUUCAGGGCACUCUCCCAUGUUCACACAUGCAGGGUUUCCUGUAGUGGACCUACUCACCUGCUUUUUCUCUGUAGUCUUACUGUUUUAAAUUUGAACACAGUUUAAUUUGAGCAUAGUUUGAUACUAGUCACUUCGUAGCUACCAUUUUAAAUGAAUUUUCUUGGUUGAAAAAGUGAUGCUGAAAGCAUAUGUGAGCUUAGUAAAUUGUCAUUUUCAUAUGAAUACUUUCAAAUAUGAAGAUAAGUUCAGUAGCCCUUCACAGUUUUCUCAGGAGGUACACACUGGGAGUUGCACUGCAUUGCUAGUUUACAUUUUAUGUAAGGAUCUUACAGUUGAGCCUAGUUCCUGAAAUGACUUCCCCUUUCUGAUACCAUUAACAUAGUGGCUAUUUGCUUCAAGCCAUUUUGGGCUGCACGUGACUCUUAGAUUCCUUUCUAACCUAAUGAGUGUUUUAAUCUUGAGACUCCUUCCCCAUUACUAUUUUCCCUUUCAAUCGAAUUUUCCUUCUCUUUUAUCUUGGAUAAGAGUUAACAUUCCCACUGGAAAAGAUGGUUAGUCAUUCUCUAGUGGGCCAUGUGAGGACGUUAGAGGCAGAGGUUCUCGGCAGUGGUGGGGAGCCUGUGGUGGCUAGGGGACAGCUGAUUAGGAUUACAUGUUGCAGGGAUAAACAGCCCAGUGUUUCAGAAGUAGUAAUGAUUAACAAUUGAGGGAUGUGCGGAGGAAAUUAAUUGUGACCUUUGGAAAACAGCACUGUCAUUGGUGUUACACUCUGAGGGAGAAGCUAGAAAAACAUUUUACUUCUAGGUACUGUAUAUUUAAAUUCUCUAGGUGCCUCAAAGUUGGCUUUAUUUAUGUGUAUCAGUUUGGAUUCAAAUACUGAAACCAAAUCACUCCAGGCUUCUGAACUGAGUCUAUUGGUAGUUCUCAAAGUAUAGGUCACAGGCUAAGGUAUACGCUAGAGAAAAGUCUAACUGACAAGCCAUUAGUUUAGCUUUUUUGUGGGGUGGUAUUGGGGGUUUAACUCAGGGCUGUUACACUGAGCUGUGUACCACAGGGUCUCGCUAAGUUGCCCAGGCUGGGCUUGAAUUUGUGAUCCUCCUCCCUCAGUCUCCGAGGAAGCUGAGUAGUUUAGCAUAUUUACAUUUGCAGCCCAAAGUUAUUAGAGCGUUUUAGCUCUUCAGCUGUUACGAGAUUUCAUUUAAGCCUUUUGAAAAGUUACAGUAAGUAGACAACACAAUUGUAUCAUGGUUCUCCAAGCUUCUAGAACAUAACCAAUUCAAGGCUUGGAUGAACUACUGAACAGUAAUAGAACCUUGGUCCUUUGAGAUGCCAUUGAUAACACCACACAAUCAUGAUACCUAUUGUCUAAUCUCAACUGAAGAUUAGACAAAGCCUGUUAUCAUUUCCAACUGGAAAUUCUAGUAUGUAUUUUACUCAUCAAAGUACAUCUGGAUAGGAUAAUUGAAUUUCUUGGUCCAAACAUUGAAUAGAAUAACAUAGAUUACAUGCUGAAUAAAACUUCUGUUGUUUGUGCACCACUUAUGUGGGAUGCCCUGGGAAGUUGAUAAAAGGAUGAAUUACUGCUCAGACCUACUUCGUCCUGGGAGAACUUGUAGUUUGGGAGAGCUACACUUGAAACAUCCUGAGGAUUUUUGUUCCCUGCUCUUGAGAUUGCCCUUUCAGCAGUUUAGAUAGCUUUGAAGUUACGUAUGUAUGUUUUCUGUUUCUUUUCCCAAUGUGAAGCUAGAAUAUACUAAACUUCUGGUUGUACAGGGACAGUUGUGCUUUAAAAGCUGUACCUCUAAAGCACAGAAUUGAUAGCAAGGGCCAGUCUACACAAGAGUUUGAAUACAGC
rnacentral:lncRNA from 1 species